UACGAAGGGAGCUAGCGUUGUUCGGAAUCACUGGGCGUAAAGCGCACGUAGGCGGAUUUGUCAGUCAGGGGUGAAAUCCCGGGGCUCAACCUCGGAACUGCCUUUGAUACAGCAAGUCUUGAGUCCGAGAGAGGUGGAUGGAAUUCCUAGUGUAGAGGUGAAAUUCGUAGAUAUUAGGAAGAACACCGGUGGCGAAGGCGGCCCACUGGCUCGAUACUGACGCUGAGGUGCGAAAGCGUGGGGAGCAAACAGG
rnacentral:rRNA from 1 species